rnacentral:rRNA from 1 species
GUCAAAGCGUUCAUUAAAGUCGAGUUGGCUUAGGGAUACGUUCGUUGGGUAGGGGAGCGUUCUGUAAGCCUGUGAAGGUGUGUCGUGAGGCAUGCUGGAGGUAUCAGAAGUGCGAAUGCUGACAUAAGUAACGAUAAAGCGGGUGAAAAGCCCGCUCGCCGGAAGACCAAGGGUUCCUGUCCAACGUUAAUCGGGGCAGGGUGAGUCGACCCCUAAGGCGAGGCCGAAAGGCGUAGUCGAUGGGAAACGGGUUAAUAUUCCCGUACUUGGUGUUACUGCGAAGGGGGGACGGAGAAGGCUAUGUUGGCCGGGCGACGGUUGUCCCGGUUUAAGCGUGUAGGUGUGUGUUCCAGGUAAAUCCGGUUCACUUUAACACUGAGGCGUGACGACGAGGCACUACGGUGCUGAAGCAACAAAUGCCCUGCUUCCAGGAAAAGCCUCUAAGCAUCAGGUAACAUCAAAUCGUACCCCAAACCGACACAGGUGGUCAGGUAGAGAAUACCAAGGCGCUUGAGAGAACUCGGGUGAAGGAACUAGGCAAAAUGGUGCCGUAACUUCGGGAGAAGGCACGCUGACACGUAGGUGAAGUGAUUUACUCA